rnacentral:rRNA from 1 species
GACGAACGCUGGCGGCGUGCUUAACACAUGCAAGUCGAACGGAGCUAUUUAUUUCGGUAAAUCGCUUAGUGGCAAACGGGUGAGUAACGCGUAGGCAACCUGCCCUCAGGAUGGGGACAACGGCUCGAAAGAGCCGCUAAUACCGAAUGACGUAACUCUUCCACAUGGAAGAGAUACUAAAGAUGGGUCAAACCAUCGCCUAAGGAUGGGCCUGCGUCUGAUUAGCCAGUUGGUGAGGUAACGGCUCACCAAAGCGACGAUCAGUAGCCGGUCUGAGAGGAUGAACGGCCACAAUGGGACUGAGACACGGCCCAUACUCCUACGGGAGGCAGCAGUGGGGAAUCUUCCGCAAUGGGCGAAAGCCUGACGGAGCAACGCCGCGUGAGUGAAGAAGGUCUUCGGAUCGUAAAGCUCUGUUGUCGGGGACGAAAGAGUAGACGAGGAAAUGCGUCUACUAAGACGGU